GACGAACGCUGGCGGCGUGCUUAACACAUGCAAGUCGAGCGGUAAGGCCCUUUCGGGGGUACGACGAGCGGCGAACGGGUGAGUAACACGUGGGUGACCUGCCCUCAGCUCUGGGAUAAGCCUGGGAAACCGGGUCUAAUACUGGAUAUGACUCCAUGACGCAUGUUGUGGGGUGGAAAGCCUUGUGCGGCUGAGGAUGGGCCCGCGGCCUAUCAGCUUGUUGGCGGGGUGAGGCCUACCAAGGCGACGACGGGUAGCCGGCCUGAGAGGGCGACCGGCCACACUGGGACGUGAGACACGGCCCAGACUCCUACGGGAGGGCAGCAGUGGGGAAGUCUUGCGCAAUGGGCGAAAGACCUGACGCAGCGACGCCGCGUGAGGGA
rnacentral:rRNA from 1 species